rnacentral:rRNA from 1 species
CCCUUAGAUGUUCUGGGCCGCACGCGCGCUACACUGAUGCAUUCAACGAGCCUAUCCUUGACCGACAGGUCCGGGUAAUCUUUGAAUCUGCAUCGUGACGGGGAUAGAUUAUUGCAAUUAUUAAUCUUCAACGAGGAAUGCCUAGUAGGCGCAAGUCAUCAGCUUGCGUCGAUUACGUCCCUGCCCUUUGUACACACCGCCCGUCGCUCCUACCGAUUGGGUGUGCUGGUGAAAUGUUCGGAUCGGCCGUUUGUCGCGGUUUCCGCGUCAUGUGGCUGAGAAGUUCAUUAACCCCUCCCACCUAGAGGAAGGAGAAGUCGUAACA